rnacentral:rRNA from 1 species
GUGGGGAAUCUUCCGCAAUGGACGAAAGUCUGACGGAGCAACGCCGCGUGAGUGAUGAAGGUCUUCGGAUUGUAAAGCUCUGUUAAUCGGGACGAAAGAGCCUAGUGUGAAUAAUGCUAGGAAGUGACGGUACCGGAAUAGAAAGCCACGGCUAACUACGUGCCAGCAGCCGCGGUAAUACGUAGGUGGUAAGCGUUGUCCGGAAUUAUUGGGCGUAAAGCGCGCGCAGGCGGAUCUGCCAGUCUGUCUUAAAAGUUCGGGGCUUAACCCCGUGAUGGGAUGGAAACUACAGAUCUAGAGUAUCGGAGAGGAAAGUGGAAUUCCUAGUGUAGCGGUGAAAUGCGUAGAUAUUAGGAAGAACACCAGUGGCGAAGGCGACUUUCUGGACGAAAACUGACGCUGAGGCGCGAAAGCCAGGGGAGCGAACGGGAUUAGAUACCCUUGUAGUCC